rnacentral:rRNA from 1 species
AACGAACGCUGGCGGCAGGCUUAACACAUGCAAGUCGAGCGCCCCGCAAGGGGAGCGGCAGACGGGUGAGUAACGCGUGGGAAUCUACCCAUCUCUACGGAACAACUCCGGGAAACUGGAGCUAAUACCGUAUACGUCCUUCGGGAGAAAGAUUUAUCGGAGAUGGAUGAGCCCGCGUUGGAUUAGCUAGUUGGUGGGGUAAUGGCCUACCAAGGCGACGAUCCAUAGCUGGUCUGAGAGGAUGAUCAGCCACACUGGGACUGAGACACGGCCCAGACUCCUACGGGAGGCAGCAGUGGGGAAUAUUGGACAAUGGGCGAAAGCCUGAUCCAGCCAUGCCGCGUGAGUGAUGAAGGCCCUAGGGUUGUAAAGCUCUUUCGCAGGUGAAGAUAAUGACGGUAACCUGAGAAGAAGCCCCGGCUAACUUCGUGCCAGCAGCCGCGGUAAAAC